GCCUGGGUGGCUCAGUGGUUUAGUGCCUGACUUCAGCUCAGGACGUGAUCCUGGAGUCCCAGGAUCGAGUCCUGCAUCAGGCU
rnacentral:tRNA from 1 species